rnacentral:rRNA from 1 species
CGAACGCUGGCGGCGUGCUUAACACAUGCAAGUCGAACGGUGAAGGGAUCAGCUUGCUGGUUCUGGAUGAGUGGCGAACGGGUGAGUAACACGUGAGUAACCUGCCCCCUUCUUCUGGAUAACCGCAUGAAAGUGUGGCUAAUACGGGAUAUUCUGCGCCUGCUGCAUGGUGGGUGUGGGAAAGAUAUUGUUUCGGUGGGGGAUGGGCUCGCGGCCUAUCAGCUUGUUGGUGGGGUGAUGGCCUACCAAGGCGGUGACGGGUAGCCGGCCUGAGAGGGUGGACGGUCACACUGGGACUGAGACACGGCCCAGACUCCUACGGGAGGCAGCAGUGGGGAAUAUUGCACAAUGGGCGCAAGCCUGAUGCAGCGACGCCGCGUGAGGGAUGGAGGCCUUCGGGUUGUGAACCUCUUUCGCCAGUGAAGCAGGCCUGUCCCUUGUGGGUGGGUUGACGGUAGCUGGAUAAGAAGCGCCGGCUAACUACGUG